GUAGGUGGCAAGCGUUGUCCGGAAUUAUUGGGCGUAAAGCGCGCGCAGGCGGUUCUUUAAGUCUGAUGUGAAAGCCCACGGCUCAACCGUGGAGGGUCAUUGGAAACUGGAGAACUUGAGUACAGAAGAGGAAAGCGGAAUUCCACGUGUAGCGGUGAAAUGCGUAGAGAUGUGGAGGAACACCAGUGGCGAAGGCGGCUUUCUGGUCUGUAACUGACGCUGAGGCGCGAAAGCGUGGGGAGCAAACAGGGAUUAGAUAACCCUGGUAGUCCACGCCGUAAACGAUGAGUGCUAAGUGUUAGGGGGUUUCCGCCCCCCUUAGUGCUGCAGCUAACGCAUUAAGCACUCCGCCUGGGAUACGGCCGCAAGGCUG
rnacentral:rRNA from 1 species